rnacentral:rRNA from 1 species
UACGGAGGGAGCUAGCGUUGUUCGGAAUUACUGGGCGUAAAGCGCGUGUAGGCGGCUUUGCAAGUCGGAUGUGAAAUCCCACGGCUCAACCGUGGAAGUGCAUCCGAAACUGCAUCGCUGGAGUCUCGGAGAGGAAGGUGGAAUGCUUGGUGUAGAGGUGAAAUUCGUAGAUAUCAAGCAGAACACCUGCGGCGAAGGCGGCCUUCUGGACGAUGACUGACGCUGAGACGCGAAAGCGUGGGGAGCAAACAGG